rnacentral:rRNA from 1 species
AUUGAACGCUGGCGGCAGGCCUAACACAUGCAAGUCGAGCGAGCGGCGGACGGGUGAGUAAUGUAUGGGGGCCUGCCCGAUAGGGGGGGAUAACUACUACAAACAGUGGCUAAUACCGCAUACUAUUGAACCUGCCGCUGUCGGAUUAGCUAGUUGGUGGGGUAAAGGCCCACCAAGGCAACGAUCCGUAGCUGGUUUGAGAGGACGACCAGCCACACUGGGACUGAGACACGGCCCAGACUCCUACGGGAGGCAGCAGUGGGGAAUUUUGGACAAUGGGCGAAAACCUGAUCCAGCCAUCCCGCGUGUAGGAGAAGGCCUUCGGGUUGUAAAGUACGUUUGGCAGAGAAGCGGUAUCUGCAGAAUAAGCACCGGCUAACUACGUGCCAGCAGCCGCGGUAAUAC